GAGAAAUGUCAAGGAAACACUUUAUGAUCCUCUGCAGUGACAUCAACAGAAUAGUUUGAAAUGAAAGGUGCUCAAUGGCUAAAGUUUCAGAUGCCAAGGCUCCCAAGCCAUAUGUCCCUGCAGAGGCUGGUGCACAUCAAGCCACUUUUACAGCUGAGAGGUGGACUUUAGCCCAGUAACUUACCUCAUUUUGGAAAACUGGGGGCAAUGCAUCAAUUCAGAGGUCAACAUCUCCAGUCAUAAUC